CAGCAGCCGCGGUAAUACGUAGGGUGUGAGCGUUAAUCGGAAUUACUGGGCGUAAAGCGUGCGCAGGCGGUUGUGUAAGUCAGAUGUGAAAUCCCCGGGCUCAACCCGGGAACUGCAUUUGAGACUGCACGGCUAGAGUGUAGCAGAGGGGGGUAGAAUUCCACGUGUAGCAGUGAAAUGCGUAGAGAUGUGGAGGAAUACCGAUGGCGAAGGCAGCCCCCUGGUUACUACUGACGCUCAUGCACGAAAGCGUGGGGAGCAAACAGGAUUAGAUACCCUGGUAGUCCACGCCCUAAACGAUGUCAACUAGAUGUUGGGAGGGUUAAACCUCUUAGUGUCGUAGCUAACGCGUGAAGUUGACCGCCUGGGGAGUACGGCCGCAAGGCUAAACUCAAAGGAAUUGACGG
rnacentral:rRNA from 1 species